rnacentral:rRNA from 1 species
GAAUUCACUAGUGAUUCAGGCCUAACACAUGCAAGUCGAGCGGUAGAGAGAAGCUUGCUUCUCUUGAGAGCGGCGGACGGGUGAGUAAUGCCUAGGAAUCUGCCUGGUAGUGGGGGAUAACGUCCGGAAACGGACGCUAAUACCGCAUACGUCCUACGGGAGAAAGCAGGGGACCUUCGGGCCUUGCGCUAUCAGAUGAGCCUAGGUCGGAUUAGCUAGUUGGUGGGGUAAUGGCUCACCAAGGCGACGAUCCGUAACUGGUCUGAGAGGAUGAUCAGUCACACUGGAACUGAGACACGGUCCAGACUCCUACGGGAGGCAGCAGUGGGGAAUAUUGGACAAUGGGCGAAAGCCUGAUCCAGCAAGGCCGCGUGUGUGAAGAAGGUCUUCGGAUU